ACGACCUUACUUGAACAGGAUCUGUUCUAUAGGCUCGUACAACCGUAUCCUUGAUUGCAAAGGAGACGGGCAACUCAGUCUGGUGGAUGACUCUUGACCUCAAGGCUGGAGCGUGAUUAUUGGUAGGAAUCCUUCGGAGUUCUUGCUGUAGAGGAUCGUUCUCGGAUGAUUUCGAUCGUCUGGGAUGGCCAUGAGGUUGUCUGACAGACU